GAAGUGCGAUAAGCAAUGCGAAUUGCAGAAUUCCGCGAAUCAUCAGAUCUUUGAACGCAAAUGGCGCCGGAGGGAUAUCCUUUCGGCAUGUCUGUUUCAGUGUCUGAGAGGUUUCAUACUAAUCUUAAUGUGAUUGAGGGGGGGAGGGUCACACCUCACCUCUUCUCUCAUGAAAGAUGCGUGAGUGGAUCUUUCGGUCCAGUGAAGUGGUCACAUCACUCGCAUGUGAUUUCAUUGGAAGUACCGAAUUAUCCGUGUACUCGCGAUUACCACAACAACAAAUCUCCACACCCUGCAUCUGAGACAGGCAAGAUCACCCGCUGAACUUAAGC
rnacentral:misc_RNA from 1 species